rnacentral:rRNA from 1 species
AGUGAACGCUGGCGGUAGGCCUAACACAUGCAAGUCGAACGGCAGCACAGUAAGAGCUUGCUCUUACGGGUGGCGAGUGGCGGACGGGUGAGGAAUGCAUCGGAAUCUACUUUUUCGUGGGGGAUAACGUAGGGAAACUUACGCUAAUACCGCAUACGACCUACGGGUGAAAGCAGGGGACCUUCGGACCUUGCGCGAUUGAAUGAGCCGAUGUCGGAUUAGCUAGUUGGCGGGGUAAAGGCCCACCAAGGCGACGAUCCGUAGCUGGUCUGAGAGGAUGAUCAGCCACACUGGAACUGAGACACGGUCCAGACUCCUACGGGAGGCAGCAGUGGGGAAUAUUGGACAAUGGGCGCAAGCCUGAUCCAGCCAUACCGCGUGGGUGAAGAAGGCCUUCGGGUUGUAAAGCCCUUUUGUUGGGAAAGAAAAGCAGCAGGUUAAUACCCCGCUGUUCUGACGGUACCCAAAGAAUAAGCACCGGCUAACUUCGUG